GAUGAACGCUGGCGGCGUGCCUAAUACAUGCAAGUCGAGCGAACGGACGAGAAGCUUGCUUCUCUGAUGUUAGCGGCGGACGGGUGAGUAACACGUGGAUAACCUACCUAUAAGACUGGGAUAACUUCGGGAAACCGUAGCUAAUACCGGAUAAUAUUUUGAACCGCAUGGUUCAAAAGUGAAAGACGGUCUUGCUGUCACUUAUAGAUGGAUCCGCGCUGCAUUAGCUAGUUGGUAAGGUAACGGCUUACCAAGGCAACGAUGCAUAGCCGACCUGAGAGGGUGAUCGGCCACACUGGAACUGAGACACGGUCCAGACUCCUACGGGAGGCAGCAGUAGGGAAUCUUCCGCAAUGGGCGAAAGCCUGACGGAGCAACGCCGAGUGAGUGAUGAAGGUCUUCGGAUCGUAAAACUCUGUUAUUAGGGAAGAACAUAUGUGUAAGUAACUGUGCACAUCCUGACGGUACCUAAUCAGAAAGCCACGGCUAACUACGUG
rnacentral:rRNA from 1 species